UACCAUGUCUAGGGAUUUUCCCCGAAUCUAGGGAUUUUUUGAAGCUUUUUCAGCUCUGGAAGGAUUUUUUUUGAAAUCUAGGGAUUUAUUAAACUGUGCUGGCGCCAUUUUUUGUUGUUAUUAAAUAUCUUUUUGUUCAAAUAUUAUUAUUAUUGUCAUUAUUUAUUGUUUCCUGACAUAAAUAUUCCUAAGUAAACAUUAAAACAUUACCUAAUCAAUGAUUAAAGUGGAUUAAACAUAGUGUUUAAUAGGUUAUAAAUUCAAUUGACAGCUGUCAUCUGUCAAUUUCUUCUUUUUUAGGUCAAAUUAAUACGAUUUAGGGAUUUCUAGGGGAAAUUGAAGUUCCCGUCUAGGGAUAUUCUGAAAUUUCAUCUGGCAACCCUGACUUCGCUUGGUUAGCUAGAACGGAACGGCAGAUGGUUGAUCGAAAAUUACGGGAAUUUUAAUACGGAGUUUCAAGCUCCUAUAAGUAUUUAGUGGAAAAAUUAAUAAUGUUGUUGUUUGGAAGAGCUAGGAGACAAAGUGUGGAAGAUCCCGUAGAAAUUGAAGUCACACCAUCUGCCGUUUGGGUGAAAUUAUAAAGUAACCAGUCCAUCAGCUCCCCUAACAACCGGGAGCAACCGUUCUAGGCCAAGCCAGGUCACUUGGAGACCAGCCUGGAGAAUCUCCUCCCACGUAGCGUUGAAUUCUGCACUUCGCCCCCGAAGGGCACCUUGAAUAAUUGGUACAAGCUAGCACCAUCCCUGUGCUAAUUCUACUACCAGGGAUUUUGGUAUCCAUAACAAGGACACUUAUGGGAACCAUAAUAUAGGGUUUGUUUUGGGGACACUUGGUACUUAUUUGCAAGUGAUUAUUACUCUACCAUCACAACACGUUAAUAUUUUUGUGUAAUAAUCAGGACAUUUAGUUCAAACUAAGUUUUAUAUUUUAAUCACACAUAUUUUUGUUUCAAGAUUUAGGUUGCAUUUUUUUUCAUAUUAAUUUUUGAUAGUGUUUCCCAAACCAGUAAACUCUCUGGUCAAGGAGGUUUGAGCUCAGAUCAUCUUUUCCCUCAUAUGAGAUUCUCUUUACCUUUGUAUUAUAUUACCUGAAAUUUACUUGUACCAUUUAUUUAUUUAAUUAACUUUAUAUUUUUUGUUACUAACCUUGCUAGUCUCCACUUAUCAAUUUAAAUUUAUAUAUUUUUACUCUUUAUUGCUAAUUUAUUAACUUAUAUAACUUUAACGUACUUUAGCCAAUCAUUCUAAUUAAUUAAACUUAUUUGCUUAACUUUUUACUUAAAUUCAUUUAUUUAACUUUUAAUUAUAUCCCUGGACGCUAUUCCCUUUGAAUAGCUAUCCAUUUUACUUGUGAUAAAUUUUUAGUGACUACGCGUCGAAGCAACUGAUUUUUAUAUAUCAAGUAGACCGUAGAUUCACAUUAAGGAGGCUGGUGCCUAUUUAACUCUUUGAGAUUUUAUAUUAUUGUUCAUUCGUUUGUAGUUUAGCGUUGCUGUACGUAUUUUAAUCGUACAAUUAUUUGGUGAAGGUUGUUAUUUAACCUAGUAUAUGUAAGUUGGGGGUAUGCUUCCUAGAAAAGCUACUCCAAUACUAAUUUAAUAGGUAAUUAUAUUUAUACUUAGAUAGGUAAUUAUUUCCCAUUGUCAUUUUAUAGUUACAUAAUUUGUAUUUUUCUAACUCAGAGGUUGUCAAAAAUCUAAGUAGUUAUAUUUAAUAAAUAUUUAUUUGUUUUGUA